AUGCCGCCAUCCAACGAAAUGUUCAAAUUCACGGAUCCAUCAGGCAGCAAGUUGCUUGCAGCGGAUUGGGUUCCAGAAGAAAAGCAAAUGGGAUCAACAAAAGUUGCAGGUUUAUCCCUGCCCUCCAUUAACUUGAGCAUCGCGCUCGGAUCUCCUCCGUGCCGUGCCAUAUCGCAGUGUUGUGACAGGACCGGAGCCAAUCCAACAAGAGCACAUGUCGUGCAGCUCGUGUUGGUCAUUGUCACUUUGUCAUGGACACAUGGACUGAGGCGAAGACAGGAGCAGUGCUUUUGGUUGAUCCGGGAUGAGCAGUUGGCUGGUGAAGUUUAUCUUGCUUGCCAGACAAGAAAUUCAUGUGACUCUUUUUCAUAA
rnacentral:rRNA from 1 species